AUUGAACGCUGGCGGCAGGCCUAACACAUGCAAGUCGAACGAGUGGCGGACGGGUGAGUAAUGUCUGGGAAUCUGCCUGAUAGAGGGGGAUUACUACUGGACACGGUUGCUAAUACCGCAUACCAUCGGAUGUGCCCAGAUGGGAUUAGCUAGUUGGUGGGGUAAAGGCUCACCAAGGCGACGAUCCCUAGCUGGUCUGAGAGGAUGACCAGCCACACUGGGACUGAGACACGGUCCAGAUUCCUACGGGAGGCAGCAGUGGGGAAUAUUGCACAAUGGGCGCAAGCCUGAUGCAGCCAUGCCGCGUGUAGGAAGAAGGCCUUAGGGUUGUAAAGUACUUUCAGCGGGGAGGCGUUACCCGCAGAAGAAGCACCGGCUAACUCAGUGCCAGCAGCCGCGGUAAUUC
rnacentral:rRNA from 1 species